GAUGAACGCUGGCGGCGUGCCUAAUACAUGCAAGUCGAGCGAACAGACGAGGAGCUUGCUCCUCUGACGUUAGCGGCGGACGGGUGAGUAACACGUGGAUAACCUACCUAUAAGACUGGGAUAACUUCGGGAAACAGGAGAUAAUACCGGAUAAUAUAUUGAACCGCAUGGUUCAAUAGUGAAAGACGGUUUUGCUGUCACUUAUAGAUGGAUCCGCGCCGCAUUAGCUAGUUGGUAAGGUAACGGCUUACCAAGGCAACGAUGCGUAGCCGACCUGAGAGGGUGAUCGGCCACACUGGAACUGAGACACGGUCCAGACUCCUACGGGAGGCAGCAGUAGGGAAUCUUCCGCAAUGGGCGAAAGCCUGACGGAGCAACGCCGCGUGAGUGAUGAAGGUCUUCGGAUCGUAAAACUCUGUUAUUAGGGAAGAACAAAUGUGUAAGUAACUAUGCACGUCUUGACGGUACCUAAUCAGAAAGCCACGGCUAACUACGUG
rnacentral:rRNA from 1 species